rnacentral:rRNA from 1 species
GACAGAGGGUGCAAGCGUUGUUCGGAAUUACUGGGCGUAAAGGGCGUGUAGGCGGUGAGGUGUGUCUGGUGUGAAAGCCCUCGGCUUAACCGGGGAACUGCGUCUGAUACUGGAUGGCUUGAGAUUGGGAGAGGGAUGCGGAAUUCCAGGUGUAGCGGUGAAAUGCGUAGAUAUCUGGAGGAACACCGGUGGCGAAGGCGGCAUCCUGGACCAACACUGACGCUGAGGAGCGAAAGCCAGGGGAGCAAACGGG